UGGGGGCAGGAGAGUGACCGACAAUUUCUCCCCACGGACACACGCGCCUCUCUUCCGCCGCAACCUUGUCUGGGGGCGUCCUCUGAGCUUUCCUGGUCUUCUCAAGGACAACCUGAAAGACACUCAGAUGAGGUGAAGGAGGGGGCUUGACAAUAUGCAAACAAAAGCUUCUUGUUGGGACCCAGUGUCUACCUGAACACUCUAUAGCUCCGUCAGUCCCACUGAGAUUAAGAUAAGAAUUAUUAUGAUCACAACUUUACAGGUGAGGAAACUGAGGCACAGAAAUUUUAAGGAAGGACCAGGUGACCUGCUACAUCUCUUCAGCAGUGCAUUCUG